rnacentral:rRNA from 1 species
GUUUCCCGUAAGGCGCCGAAUGAGUCAUUAAAAAAUUAACAUCAUCCGAUCCCUAGUCGGCAUAGUUUAUGGUUAAGACUACGACGGUAUCUGAUCGUCUUCGAUCCCCUAACUUUCGUUCUUGAUUAAUGAAAACAUCCUUGGCAAAUGCUUUCGCAGUAGUUAGUCUUCAAUAAAUCCAAGAAUUUCACCUCUGACAAUUGAAUACUAAUGCCCCCAACUAUCCCUAUUAAUCAUUACAUCGAUCCUAGAAACCAACAAAAUAGAAUCGGAUGUCCUAUUUCAUUAUUCCAUGCUAAUGUAUUCAAGCGUGAGCCUGCUUUAAACACUCUAAUUUUUUCAAGGUAACAGUCCUAAUUCCCCGUAACACCAAAUUAAUGACAUCACGGUUCUUUAGAAGGUGAGAAAUCAAUGAUAACAGUGCAUACCAACGGCAUGACCGAAAUAUUGAUCCCGAAAUUCAACUACGAGCUUUUUAACUGCAACAACUUUAAUAUACGCUAUUGGAGCUGGAAUUACCGCGGCUGCUGGCACCAGACUUGCCCUCCAA